rnacentral:rRNA from 1 species
GUGGGGAAUCUUGCGCAAUGGGCGAAAGCCUGACGCAGCAACGCCGCGUGGGGGAUGAAGGCUCUCGGGUUGUAAACCCCUUUCAGCAGGGACGAAUCAAGACGGUACCUGCAGAAGAAGCCCCGGCUAACUACGUGCCAGCAGCCGCGGUAACACGUAGGGGGCAAGCGUUGUCCGGAUUUAUUGGGCGUAAAGAGCUCGUAGGUGGCUGAGUAAGUCGGAUGUCAAAUCCCCAGGCUCAACCUGGGAUCCCAUCCGAUACUGCUCUGGCUAGAGUCCGGUAGGGGAGCGUGGAAUUCCUGGUGUAGCGGUGAAAUGCGCAGAUAUCAGGAGGAACACCAGCGGCGAAGGCGGCGCUCUGGGCCGGUACUGACACUGAGGAGCGAAAGCGUGGGUAGCAAACAGGAUUAGAAACCCUAGUAGUCC